UACGGGGGGGGCAAGCGUUGUUCGGAAUUACUGGGCGUAAAGGGCUCGUAGGCGGCCAACUAAGUCAGACGUGAAAUCCCCAGGCUCAACCUGGGAACUGCGUCUGAUACUGGAUGGCUUGAAUCCGGGAGAGGGAUGCAGAAUUCCAGGUGUAGCGGUGAAAUGCGUAGAUAUCUGGAGGAACACCGGUGGCGAAAGCGCCUUGCUGGGUCUGCACUGACACUGAGGGACGAAAGCUAGGGGAGCGAAAGGG
rnacentral:rRNA from 1 species